rnacentral:rRNA from 1 species
UACGUAGGGUGCGAGCGUUGUCCGGAAUUAUUGGGCGUAAAGAGCUUGUAGGCGGGUUGUCGCGUCUGCUGUGAAAAUCCGGGGCUCAACCCCGGACUUGCAGUGGGUACGGGCAGACUGGAGUGUGGUAGGGGAGACGUGGAAUUCCUGGUGUAGCGGUGGAAUGCGCAGAUAUCAGGAGGAACACCGAUGGCGAAGGCAGGUCUCUGGGCCACUACUGACGCUGAGAAGCGAAAGCAUGGGGAGCGAACAGG